AACUCCCAUCUAUCAUUCAACAAUAUAUUGUACAACCAUACGAGUUACAGUCCGUCGCAGCAAAUAAAAUGCACGGAUACCUGUAUAUGUACAACCAUAAGAAGGGGUCUCCGGUCGCGUAAACAGAGCAAAAGCUACUCGACAAAGAUAAAGAUGAGGUAUCGAAGUGGUUUAUCAGUUGUGAGAGGGGGGAUUGGUCGUCGGUCCAACGUAAUCCGCAUCAAACCCUGGAUGCUCCUUUGCUCCACCUCGAGGCACAGGCCAUGUAACCUUAACGAGCGUGGAGGCUUGAAGGGCACCUGAGACGCCUUCGUUCUUCCCCUUGACGUCCUCUGUGCGUUCAACAGUCGAGAAGCCUUGUUUCUUCUCGAGUGCAACACCUUCCGAUGACGUCGAUUCUGCGGGAUUUCCAUGGACUGAAUUCUCAUCCGGAAUCACCUUCGCAGAAACCUAAACAAGAGACACGCUAAGGUUACAGUCAUCCUACGUAUGUAAUCAACAAACAUGAUCGAUGAUCACCAACCUUGCUGGAUUCAUUGUAACGACUGCUUGGAUCUUUGGCAUGCAUCCUUAGAUGCCGGGCAUUGCAUGCGUCGACGGAAAGAGCUAACAGGAGGGUGAAGAGAAGAGCAACAGAAGGC
rnacentral:lncRNA from 1 species